UCCACCAGAUGUCACUUAGCAGCAGCGUUCACUGCGUUCUUGAUCACACCUCACAAAGACUCUUUUGAAAGAGAACUUCCAGAGCUGCGCUAGAAAGCGGCAAAAGUGGCAGGAUAAGUGUUCAAAGCAAGGAAAUAACCAGAAAUAGUGAGGACCAGAAACAGUGUCGGUUCCUGUGCUGUGGGAAGUAACAUGAGGAGAGUAGUGAGUCCAGUCUGUUUUUAGAUCCUGGUUUACAGAGAAGAGAGGGAAGAGAAGAAAAGCCUUGUACCUCACACAAGGUCACAGUAACAAGCAGCCAGACUUCUAAUCCAUCAGUCAUUUGAAAUUCUAUGCUUUUUUUCCAUUGCACAACACUUGCCACCUGUCAUAGAGACUAGCAAACA